GGGCCCGCACAAGCGGUGGAGCAUGUGGUUUAAUUCGAUGAUACGCGAGGAACCUUACCAGGGCUUAAAUGUUAGGUGACAGAUCUAGAAAUAGAUUUUUCUUCGGACACUUAACAAGGUGCUGCAUGGUUGUCGUCAGCUCGUGCCGUGAGGUGUCAGGUUAAGUCCUAUAACGAGCGCAACCCCUGUUGUUAGUUGCCAGCGAGUAAUGUCGGGAACUCUAGCAAGACUGCCAGUGCAAACUGUGAGGAAGGUGGGGAUGACGUCAAAUCAUCACGGCCCUUACGUCCUGGGCUACACACGUGCUACAAUGGUAGGUACAGAGAGCAGCCAAUGCGCGAGCAUGAGCAAAUCUAUAAAACCGGGCCCAGUUCGGAUUGGAGUCUGCAACUCGACUCCAUG
rnacentral:rRNA from 1 species